GGGAGGAAGUGAUGUAAACUCCCUAGGGGUAUAAAUAGGCCUCAGAAAUCUCUUCCAAAUCACUUGCCAUACAGGAAAGGAGGCAGCAACACAGGUCCUGAAUCUCUUAAUUUCUAGUUGGAAGUUAUAUCUUACCGGCCACUGUGGAGCUCAGAACCUACUUGUUGUCGAACUCUAAAGAAUUUUUAUUGUAAGUAACAAUUAAGACUCUAUAUUAAGUGCUAUUAUUGGUCACUAAUUAGGUCCUUAAUUUAAUUCACUUUUGAUUCUAGUUAGAAGAUGCACCUUAUUGGAUUUUAAGGAGCUUUUUAGCACAACUCGUUAUCAUCGUGCUGAACUUUAAGUAAGUUAUAACAAAGUUCAGUUUUUAAAUAUGCCUAUAUAGUGCUUUGGACACCCUUAACUAUCUCCAAUUAAUUUCUUAGACUAAUUCAUCCGGUCAAGAUUAGACCAUCAGUGAGCAGGUGAAUUUGUAUUGGAAAACAUAUUGAACAUUGACUGACCAUAAUAUAGGAGUAGUUGAUCUCUAAUGAAGAUUAUCUCCAGAGACAGCCAAGUGAGUGAUCCAUUUUAAUUAGAUGUAAUUCUAUAUUCAACCUUUCAGUACCAUUUAAAACAAUAUAUAUAUUUUAUUCUUAGAAUUACAGAGAAUAAACUACCGCAUUAUAAAGAAGAAAUAAUCCACUC